ACGAACUGUGCGAACGUUAUUCGGAAUCACUGGGCUUACAGGGUGCGUAGGCGGCCUGUUAAGUAGGGUGUGAAAUCCCCCGGCCCAACCGGGGAAUUGCGCUCUAAACUAGCAGGCUUGAGUGAGCUAGGGGUACACGGAACUUCCAGUGGAGCGGUGAAAUGUGUUGAUAUUGGAAGGAACACCGGAGGCGAAAGCGGUGUACUGGGGCUCAACUGACGCUGAGGCACGAAAGCCAGGGUAGCGAACGGGAUUAGAUACCCCGGUAGUCCUGGCCGUAAACGAUGAGCACUGGGCGGGAGAAGGUUCGCCUUUUCCGGCCGUAGCGAAAGCGUUAAGUGCUCCGCCUGGGGAGUAUGGUCGCAAGGCUG
rnacentral:rRNA from 1 species